AUCACCAGGAACACACUGCAAUCCAACAAAGUGGGGCUUGUUGAUUGAUGCUCCCAGCAGGAAGCAAGACUGCACACCUUGACGAAACAUGGGACAUCUCAUCACAGAGUGACUUUCUCUCAUGUGGAUGUGCCGUAAAAUUAUGUUUGACCAGAGAACACCAUGGUCUAGCUGUGAGUGCCAGGCCAGCUCCGAGCAAACAGCUGCAGGAGGACAUGGUAUCAUCUCAUUCAUCACUGUGUCUCCAACAUCAAAAGCAGCCCCAACAUAUGGCUGUGGUAUAUUUGGAAAUCAUUCUGAUGCUUUCAAAGAAAGCAUUCCAGGUAAAUAUGCUCUCUACUGCAGUUAAAGACUUAAAGACCUAGUGACCAUUUUAAACAGUAGUCUUGAAAAUAUUCAUUGAAACAUCUUCUGGAAGGUAGCAAAGUUUGUAUGUAGGAGCAAUAGUGAUGAUUUAUGUUCAUAUCUACUAUUUGCAUAUUUUACUACCACCAUUUUUUUUUUUUUUUGCUUUUAAUAUCUUCUUAUACUUUUUCUUACUGAAAAGUUACCAGUUUGGUUAAAUUAAGUAGAUAUUUAUUAAGUGCCUAUUUUGUGCUAUGUGCAAGACACUAUGCAAUUCAUUUCCAAGAAAGCUGAGAAAGUAUAAAGGAAAAGACAUAAUUGCCUUUUUCAAUAAAACCUAUUUUCAACUAUUUGUGGUACGCUGAGCUACCCUAACUAAUUUGCGCUGAAGAGAUUCAGAAUCAUUAGCCUUAACCAGGCACUGUUGAGCAUGAUCUUGUGAACUUGA